AAAAAGGAGGGGAUGGCUUCUGUCAUGAGUGGCACACAUGGGGCAACUCAACUGCUCUGUGUGCAGAAUCAACAUCAAGAGAUUUUGAAAGCAUAAUUUUUUGGUAUCUGGGCAGGUGGUAAUCAUUGGUCCUGGCGUCCAU
rfam:Otolemur garnettii contig001593, whole genome shotgun sequence.